rnacentral:lncRNA from 1 species
CGUUUGGGAAUCGAACCGUGAUGUGUUCUUGGAUGUUGGGGAAAAUAAACUACCAGCCCUAAGUUUCAGCCAGUAGAAGCAUCUACCUUCUUCCCUAACAGAUUUCCAGUAUUUGGCUCUUACGAUGUGACAACUGGGUUUUAUUUGCCACAUGUGGGACUCAUGCAUGACUUUAUAAUUACUGUCAUUACAUAUUGGGCUUUACGUGUGUGUCUCUUGGUUUUUAUUUAAAUUUGAGAGUCACAGCCUUCGCUUUGCAAAUCACCUUUGGUCUUAGAACUUCCCUUCCCUUUUGUCUUAGAACAGUCUUCUGAUGAAUGAGGUCAUUUCACCCUUUGCUGCCAGGCAGUCCUCCGAGGGCAGUGUGGCUCAGAGCCAGAGAACAUGGACUGAUGGAUACCGUAAAGCCAGUGGAUGUCUCAGAUUGCCCUGAGCCUAGCACAUGGCACUCCAAGGAGCUUGCUGCGGUAUGGUAUAAAGCUCAGACUCGGCCCCUGCUUGGUGUCACAGGCUCACUGAAUUGUCCUGUCUGCCAGAAACCUGAAAGGGCCUUGUUGUUUCCCUGUGAGACUGCAGUGGGCAGAAGCAGAGAGACGCUGGUCUGGUGUCCUGAAAAGCUCUCAGUGAUUUGGCUUGGUACAGAAACGUCCUGGCCGGAUUUGUGGAAGUUGAUCUGCCUGCUCUGUCUUUAUUUGUUUCGUCUUGAUUUUUCCCCUCCAAUGGGAAAAUGAGGACUUAAAUCUUUGUGUGUGUGCAGUAUUUUUCCUUGAUAAACAAGCUCAAUACAUUCGGAACCAUUUUACCUUCUAAUGGAACUCUUUCUGAAAGUGAAGACUUGGAAAAUGAUGCAGUGGACUACCUUUGCAGAUAUCUAUUGAGCCAGAUAAUGCUGGAAAAGGAUCAGAGAGGGCAGGAUCAGCGACACAAGGAUAUCUCCAGUGGUCUUUUUUGUCCGUGUUUGUGUUCACGUCCCAGGUGCCACUUUACCACCAGCCUCACCCACACUGAGCCCUGGCAUUGCUACCAAAUUCGUCUCCAGAGCAGCUCAGGUGUUCUCUGACCUUUUGCUCGAAACCUCAAUGCUCACUGUAAAUUUCUGCAGAUCUAGGAGUGCAAUAAACGAUGAGAGAAUUUAACCGGUUUUUGCUAAAAGAGAACUUAUCGGGCCCAUGGAUUUUGAAAUUCAGCAUAAAGUGAAAUUUCCCAUCACAGUAAAUGCAUACAAUUAUAAAUAAUUAAGCCAAACUCUGAGUAGUAAUUUAUGUGUUUCUUUAAAAAUGUCCCUAAUAUAUUGACAUUGACCAUGGAGUGCAAGAAUUCUUAACAAUCAAUGGGAAUUCUGCUGAGCAUGAACACCAGACCUCGACAGUUAAUGUCCCAUCAGUAUCUGAUCACCAUAAAAGUUUUAGCAGGAGUUUGGCUCUGAGGUCAGGAAGUACUGUGGGCCCAGAAAUGAGAGUAAUAAAUUCACGAUGGAAAGAACUUCACUCUUCCUACUCAUCACUAAGACAAACUCGCUAGUUAAAAAGCUGCAC